UACGUAGGGUGCGAGCGUUAAUCGGAAUUACUGGGCGUAAAGCGUGCGCAGGCGGUUCGUUGUGUCGGUGGUGAAAGCCCCGGGCUUAACCUGGGAAUGGCCAUGGAAACUGGCGAACUGGAGUGUGGCAGAGGGGGGUGGAAUUCCGCGUGUAGCAGUGAAAUGCGUAGAGAUGCGGAGGAACACCGAUGGCGAAGGCAGCCCCCUGGGCUAGCACUGACGCUCAGGCACGAAAGCGUGGGAGCAAACGGG
rnacentral:rRNA from 1 species